UCGAGUGGGCAAAACGGGUGAGUAAACGCGUAAAACAACCUGCCUUCGGAUGGGGAUACAGCCGGAAACGGCUGCUAAUACCGAAUACGAUCUUUCGUCGCAUGACGGAAAAGAAGAAAAGGAUGGCCUCUAUACAAAGCUAUCGCCGAAGGAGGGGUUUGCGUCUGAUUAGCUGGUUGGAGGGUAACGGCCCAACAAGGCGAUGAUCAGUAGCCCCGGUCUGAGAGGAUGAACGGCCACAUUGGGACUGAGACACGGCCCAGACUCCUACGGGAGGCAGCAGUGGGGGAAUCUUCCGCAAUGGACGAAAGUCUGACGGAGCAACGCCGCGUGAGUGAAGAAGGUCUUCGGAUUGUAAAGCUCUGUUAUACGGGACGAAAAAGACGGAUGCCAACAGUAUCCGUCCGUGACGGUACCGUAAGAGAAAGCCACGGCUAACUACGUGCCAGCAGCCGCGGUAAU
rnacentral:rRNA from 1 species